UGGGGAAUAUUGCACAAUGGGGGGAACCCUGAUGCAGCGACGCCGCGUGAGCGAAGAAGUAUCUCGGUAUGUAAAGCUCUAUCAGCAGGGAAGAAAGUGACGGUACCUGACUAAGAAGCCCCGGCUAACUACGUGCCAGCAGCCGCGGUAAUACGUAGGGGGCAAGCGUUAUCCGGAUUUACUGGGUGUAAAGGGAGCGCAGGCGGCGCGGUAAGUCUGAUGUGAAAGCCCGGGGCUCAACCCCGGGACUGCAUUGGAAACUGUCGUGCUGGAGUGUCGGAGGGGCAAGUGGAAUUCCUAGUGUAGCGGUGAAAUGCGUAGAUAUUAGGAGGAACACCAGUGGCGAAGGCGGCUUGCUGGACGACAACUGACGCUGAGGCUCGAAAGCGUGGGGAGCAAACAGGAUUAGAUACCC
rnacentral:rRNA from 1 species